GCACCGGUAAUUCAGUGGUAGAAUGCAAGCUUCCCAAGCUUGACGUCGCGGGUUCGAGUCCCGUCCGGUGCU
rnacentral:tRNA from 1 species